GGUAAGCUUUUUGUCGGCAGUGUACACUCAGUCUCUAAAAUUACUUCAAAUACAUAAAAGCUUGUGUGUUAUGGUACUGCCAUGUAAAUUAACUUUUAUGAUCACCAGUGCCCAAAUGGCAGCUGGGAUGCUUAUUUAUAUUAUGCAAUCAUGCUAUGUAUAAGACGCUUAGAGCACGUGGUGCGACUAGCUGUGACGCAAGUGCUUUGAUGAUAGUCAGUCAGCAUGCUUGGCGGCUAGUCGGUCGGCACCUGGAGCACAUGUUUGUCCUAAUAACAAUGUGCACGCACGUGCUAUAGCGUCUCGACCCAUAUCGUGAUAUAUAGCGAAACGUCAGAGGUCGACACGAAUAAACUGCAAACGCCACGUCAAUAAUUGAUAAUGGCGGUGUCACCGCUUGCCUUUCUUCUGCUUCGUCAAACGUAGCUACACAAACAGCCCCUAGCGUGCUUUAGCUGCAGCUGGUUUCUAGGUCGAGGACAGUUUUACUAUACACAUAGUUGCGCGUUGGCGCUGCGAUAGCCUAGGCUUCUUGGCCUCGUGGACACGUGAGUUUGCCUUCUUUUUGUUUUCGUCCACGUUACGUGGCUACAGUACAAUAUUAAUGACUGCGGGGCGAACUAAAGCUCAAGGGAAAUAAAGUUGACUAGGAAUGUUGGGGGUGUAGUACUGUUACUUGAAUUAAUUUAAGUGGGCUUGAUGGUAUUGAUGGCUUGGUAUCGACCAAUUCCAGCUUCUGAAGCAGAAGUCCAAAAAAAAGGUGAAGAGGGGACGCUUGAGAUUCAAGCGUGUAAUGCUUGAAGAGGAAGAAGAAUGGCACUGUGAAGAAGAGGUAAGUACUGCACACUAUUUCAAGGUGCAACUUUGCUGUUUAAUGUGCGUAUAAGGUACAAUUUUCUUUUCUUUCCCUUAAGCCACCACGAGAGAAAAAGCACCAAAAACAAAAAGAAGCCCUAAAAGACAGCUUGCUGAAGCUUUUGGAAAAAAAGAAGCAGGCAAUGGGGGAUGCUGGAAACAGACGCCAUGACUAUGACGGGAAAUGCUUGGCUUGAGCAAAUGAAGGAACUAGCGGACAGACAGAAAGAAGAAAUUAGAAAAUUAAGAAAAUUGAAUGAUGGACUUCAGCAGAAAGUGAUAACUCAAAUAGAAGAGUUCUGUAAGCAUUAUUUUGAUUUUUAUAAUUGCAUUACUGUGGUAGAGAAAAAAAAUGCCUGCUUAUGCCUGUAAUUCUGAUGUUCCAGUUCAAAAUGAAAAAGCCACAGUCCCUGUCGUACGGCCUGCUGUAAUGGGGCCACCUACGACGCCACCACCGGUACAGGGACACACCAAUUUUAAUGGCAACGAUGAAGCACCUGCCGCACGUGCGCUUUGGAGCCCUGCAGCUAUGCCCCAGAGAACUACAUCCGAAAUCACUGGUCCUGAACACAUGGUAAGAUUUUUAAAAAUGUGGUUGAAUUCCUGUUCUAAAACUUGCUAAACAAAGUUUGAAAUCAAUACGCACUAGCAAUAACAGCUUGACUAGCAUAGUCGCAUGAACUUUAGCAGGGAAAUCAACACCUGUACGUGUCGCUUUACUUGCCGAUAUGCAACCUCGCUAUAUUUUACAAUUGUUACUGCUAAAUUUUUUUCAGGCUCCUGGUAAUUCUCUAUGUUGCAAAAUCAUUUUUGUCACAGCGUGAGAUUGUUUUGUGCAGUUUGUGCAGGUUAUUUGUGCGUAUUUUGUGGCUACGCAGGUGGAUAUAGGCCAGGGAUUGCAGAUACCCAUGGAAGCAUGGAAGCGCACGCAGCUGCAACCGAAGAACAGCCUCUUUGUGAAGGAGCUGGUAGUGACGAUCGGGGACACGGCAGAUUUUAAGGGUCGUUCCCUCCAAGGUAGGUAUCUUCAGUCCUUAAACCAACUGCACCCACUUCGCAGUACAUCUGAUGAUAUAAAUGUCGUCUAAUUCCUAUUGAUUUGUGUGCAUUCCUAAAUAUCUUGCAACACCCAGUUUAUUAUGAGAUGUUUUUGCCAUUACUGUGGUAGUGACAGUCUCGAUUCAGCAUUGGGUACAGUGCUUCCACCUUCUAGUGUGUGGAUAAUACUCCCUGCAUGCAUGUGCGGUGCACAAAAGCCACAGUGCAUACAGGAACUACACUUGCAUCAGAAUGCUGCAUGUAAUCCUACCUUAAUGAAUUGAAUUGCACAGUAAUGUGAGAUAAUCCUCGAUCUCCAUGCUGGAGAGGCACAUUACACUGUCUCACUGCCUUCUGUCUUACCUAAAAUCCCACUAUACCGCUAGCAAAAUCAACAGGCUUUGUUUCUGCAUCCAUAAUGCAAGCCAGCUAUUCCAUUUUCGUGUACGAGUGCAUACGGACACAGAGCUAACGGAUCAGCACAUGGACCCAGUCGUUCAUCUGUCCGAUGCCCUGAUGUUUUAUUUUCCAAAUCAAAUAAUUGGGGACUAAAAUGCUAUUAUCGCUUUAAUGACAUCGCAUGUAAGGUAGGCUGAGGCAGGAGAAAAUGUACCUCGUGGUGCGACGGACCAGUAUGAUCAAUAGGCAUGUACUCUUCAAGAUGCAUUUAUAAAUUACACAGAGCAUGUAAACUUGGCUCUCCCUACCAAACAACUGAAUUAAUUUGGUUUCAAAGAUUGUUCCAGCACCCCGUUUUUGGGAUAGAACUCUCUGUUGUGACGUUUUCUAUAUUUUACUUCCUAAUUUGCCUUUGCUAUAUUUACAGGCAAGCACUGUCCGAGGUUCCCGGAUCACCCCCUAAAGGAGCCUUUGACACCUUAGAAGGUGUCAGUGAUACGUGAAUGCUACAAGGAGAGGCUGCUGCGGCUUGGCCUGCCUGCUGACCUACUUCAAAACAGCCCAAAAAGGAUGAACCGUUUUGUAGUCGAAAAGCUGGCCGACAUUGCAAAACUGUCUAGGAGGACUGAAAAGACUGAGCCUUCGAUGCCGUAAGAAGCUUCCAGCAGAGAAUGCCACUUCGACCACUGUACAGCACCUUGUGAAAAUACACUUAGUUUAAGCUUGCCUCUGUGUUCAUGCUGUUUUGGGCAGCUAUAGUACACUUCACAGAACAUUACUAGCAUGUAAUUCCAGUGCACUCAACUCCAGUGUUCUGACAUCCAUAAGUGAACAGGCCUGACCAUGGAUUUGUUCUAAUGUUCAUUUAUAGUGUUCUGUCCAAAUUUGUGGUUCUGGAGAGGUAAACAAGCUAGGCAGACAC